GCCCACGGAUAAGCAAUCCAAGGAGAAGAGAGUAGGGUCUGCGCCCAACUUGACUCCCUAUAAAAGGAGGGGAGGUGGCUGCGAGCAUGCCAUCAGCGUUGGGUCGAUGGUGUUGUGCCUCGGCAGCCGGGAUCAUGCAAUGCAGAUGGGAAGCAGCAGUGCCGCCUCUCCCCCCGAGCUCCAGAUACAUGAUAGCAGCAUCGAGGAGGAGAAAAACUACAUUCAGAGGUUACAGAAUGGCAAUGGGUGGCAUGGUUAGUGAUCACUAGGCCAUGAAUCUCAUGGAUCCCAUGAUACAGGUAUCUGGUCCAGAUCCGACGGAGCCAAGCAAAAUCAUGCUGCUGCUUCUUCUUUCGAUUGAAAAUCCAGGUGAAACCUUUCAAGAACUCACGACGACACGCAAUGAUUAUAUUUCAUUGUGAUGGCCGCUGCCGACACAGCUACUAUGGGUACACGCAACUUCUAUUUCGCUCGUCACCGGAAACCACCGCCCAGAUCCAUCUCUUCUCAACCAUGCCGACGUGGUGGUCAGGGGCGCUUACAACUUGUGAGGACCUGCGUUCUCGCUGUUGAUCCGUGAUGGCAUGGCCUCCCCGCGCCCUAGCCGUGUUCUAGCUGAUGGUUUGGGUCUGCCAGCGGAGGGAGAGGGGGACGACCUCUGUCGCUCCUUCUUUCUAGCCUCUUCAUCUUGAUGAAGCCGUAGGAGUAGAGGGGCACACGCGUGAUGGAUUUGCUCCAAGCACCUCAAGCCACGCAUCUUCAAGGUGAUCACUUCAUCCACAUUCAAUGUCAGU